rnacentral:misc_RNA from 1 species
CUUAUCAUUUAGAGGAAGGAGAAGUCGUAACAAGGUUUCCGUAGGUGAACCUGCGGAAGGAUCAUUGUCGAAUCCUGCAAAGCAGAACAACCUGUGAACAUGUUUACAAAUGUGUUGAGGGGGCUUGGUGUCAUUUGCUCCAUCUCCUCUUGACUGGCCCAUGUGGCCAAGAUAACCAACCCCGGCACGGAUUGUGCCAAGGAAUUGUGAUAAAUGAAACGUUUUCCCAUCUAUCUAACAUACGAUUGUGUGGGGUAAUACGUGAUAUGUAUUAUAAAGAAUGACUCUCGGCAACGGAUAUCUCGGCUCUUGCAUCGAUGAAGAACGUAGCGAAAUGCGAUACUUGGUGUGAAUUGCAGAAUCCCGUGAACCAUCGAGUCUUUGAACGCAAGUUGCGCCCCAAGCCUUUGGGUCGAGGGCACGUCUGCCUGGGUGUCACGCAUUGUAGGCUCUACAACAGUAAUUGGUGUAGGACUGAUAUGGCUCUCCCGUACUCAUAGUAGUGCGGUUGGUUGAAAUAGAGUAACCAUUAAUGUCAUGUAUUUCAUGAUGAGCGGUGGUUUGCCUUGGCUUGCCCUCGUUAAGUCAUCGUGUAGCAUGUCAUUAGAGUUGGUUGCAUCUGUACUGCAAACCUUUGGAUGAAGAUAAUAGUACGCAUUGCGACCCCAGGUCAGGCGGGAAUACCCGCUGAGUUUAAGCAUAU